CCUACGGGGGGCUGCAGUGGGGAAUAUUGGGCAAUGGGCGCAAGCCUGACCCAGCAACGCCGCGUGAAGGAAGAAGGCUUUCGGGUUGUAAACUUCUUUUAAGAGGGAAGAGCAGAAGACGGUACCUCUUGAAUAAGCCACGGCUAACUACGUGCCAGCAGCCGCGGUAAUACGUAGGUGGCAAGCGUUGUCCGGAUUUACUGGGUGUAAAGGGCGUGUAGCCGGGCUGACAAGUCAGAUGUGAAAUCCCGUGGCUCAACCACGGAACUGCAUUUAAAACUGUCGGUCUUGAGGAUCGGAGAGGCAGGGGGAUUUCCUGGGGUAGCGGUGAAAUGCGUGGAUAUUAGGAGGAACACCAGUGGCGAGGGCGGCCUGCUGGACGACAACUGACGGUGAGGCGCGAAAGCGUGGGGAGCAAACAGGAUUAGAUACCCCUGUAGU
rnacentral:rRNA from 1 species